CUUCUUCAUACACGCCAGUAGUACUUCCUGUUUGCUUUUAUAACAAACGAAUAUUAUAAGAAGGGGGAACAGGCGAAGCGGGCGACAGACGAGGGCAUUUAUUAUUAUACAAGAAAUAAACAACCCCAGGAAACAGCUACCAUGGUCUGACUGUUGAUAAAAGGUAGGAUUUAUUUUACGAAAUGUUAUUUCGAAAGCUUGACCACGCCUACUCGGAGUGAUACUGAUGUUUAUAUCGUAUUAAUCUGCUUUAGCCUCACUAUCUAUCUAUCUUGUAAACGUUACUUAAAGGUCUACAUGGCCUUUAAACUUUAGAUACCAUUAUUUUCCACUGUUAUUUGAUUUUACUAUGAUAUGAUUAAUAUGUUAUCGAGAAAUACAACCCUCCCGUUCCCUUCAUGAUGAAUUUGGUCACAUGUUUCUGUAUCCCAUGAUCACUUACAUAUAUCCUUGGUCAGCAGCUUACUUAGGAUUUUAUAUUAUUCCCCUAAUUCAAUUUUUAAAGUUGUUGAAACAUCAUCAAGUAAGUCAAUUUUUGCUUGAAAAAACAAAAACAACAAACUAACAGAACAAAAAUAAUUCAGAUAACCAAAUAAAAUUAAUUAUGCUGAUUAAUAAAGUAUCUCUCUCCCUUUUGUCUCACAUCUCAGCCAGCAUCUACGUGGUGCGGAAGAUCCGGGCCUCCAUCGCUGAGGGGGAGCAACUGGACAAGCCCAUCAUUACACCAUGUAGUGCUAGAGGUAAGACAUCAACCACUGGAUCAUAAGGUUUACACUGAUAUUUAAACAAUUACACUUUUAAGAAGAAACAAACUUUGAUUGAGCAAAGUGCAUUUUAAUAGUUAUGAGCUCUUAGGAUUUUAUUGGAUGGUCUUAAGAAACAUCAGUCCAACUUUCUAACCAUUAUGUCAUGCUGCAUGUCCUGAAGAUUAGAGGUAUUAGAGGGGAGUGAGGAGUGAAUGUGUAAGCUCUUGGAGGGGCUUUAUACUGCAUGUUACUGACUGACAUGAGUUUCUCUUUUGUGUUCAGCUGAAAUAAAAGCAGGACAUGAGGAGAGAGGAAACUCCUCAGCAGCGAUGCUCAGCUCAGGACCUGAAGAAGGAGUUGGUCUAGCAGCAGGCUCGGGGAUGUCCUCAGAGACAGCUGUGCAGAAAUGUAGCGCCUCCUCCUGACGCUAGAGACCCUGCUGGACACAGGGACUGUGGCCACCUGAAUGGAAAGAUACAAUUUGACAUCCUUGUAAUUUUGCAUUAUUGGAUUAUUCCGCUUCUGUUCAGGAUUGUACACGUCCUCAGCGGUCACCAGCUGCUCUCCUCUCCUGUGCUUGUUUAGGCUUUUUUUUUAUAGACAACAUCUAAAUUAAUCACGGACAAAAAAAACAGUUGAAACAAAAACAGAAUAAACUUAAUUAUUUUUACCCGUUUUGGUGCUAUUUACUGCUACAUGCACCUGAAUGUAAGGGAGACAUUUAAAGAACAGAAAUUAUCUGCUCAAUCAGCAUGUUGUCUGUGGGAAAAAAGCCUUUAUAUAUGUACUGCAGUGUUUGAAGGCUGUCUCACCAACCCCUCUCUAGGGGCUGAGUAGGCCUGAUGUCUUUGCUGCUGUAUCAAUGAAUAAAUACAGAAAAACUAUGUCUUUA
rnacentral:lncRNA from 1 species